GAAAUGCGAUACUUGGUGUGAAUUGCAGAAUCCCGUGAACCAUCGAGUCUUUGAACGCAAGUUGCGCCCGAAGCCUUAUGGUCGAGGGCACGUCUGCCUGGGCGUCACGCAUCGCGUCUCCCCCAACCCACCUCGUGUGGGCGGGGGGAGGAGGAUGGCUUCCUGCGCCUCACCGGGCGUGGCUGGCCUAAAAAAGGAGCCUCAGGUUAUGCACUGUGCGGCAAUUGGUGGUGGACAAGGCCUUGGCCUCGAAUGCAAUCUCGUGUCGUGCAGUACAUGGCAAUUGUGGGCUCGUUUUGUUCCCAAUUGGAAACAAACCGUUGCGACCCCAGGUCAGGCGGGGCUACCCGCUGAGUUUAA
rnacentral:misc_RNA from 1 species